GCAUGUGGCUAAGAAUGAGAGAUGGCACUGUCCCUAGCUCCCAGUCCCAGGGCUCUGGUGCCUCCCUGGGAGGAGCGGGCUGCUAGCGUUUCUCAUGCCCCUGCCUCUGUGUUGCAGAGGCUAAAUUCCAGGCAGCUACAGCCAAGAGGUUAGGGCUUCCCUUCCUCCACCCAACCAGAGGUCAAAGGCUCCUUCUCAGAUUCAGCAGGCCAAGAAAACUGAAGUCCAGGUCACCUUUGCCCGAGCUAGUUUAUAGGGUGGAGGUUCCAUGCGGGGAGAGGCAAGGUGAAAAGGCUACUGCCCUAGCCAGUACCGUGCUCAAAAAGCAGAGGUGUCCCUCUAGAAAAAGCGGGUCACUGUCUCCGCACUCAGCUCCACGGCAGUGGUUCAGAUAUUUUGCCCUAGGAGGAGAGGCAUGACAUACAAACAGAGAUAUCUGAAGUUUUCCCAAAGUAAACUAAUUUGUUUGGAACAGAGUGUGGGGAAGUUCAAACCUAAGGAUACUAUCAAAAAUAAUGGAGAUUUUGGUAGUAAGCGAUUAAGAGGAGGCUAGUAACUUGAUAAGAGCAGCAAGCUCAACCAGAGGUCAGCUAUGUUGUCAGAGGAAACCAGUGAAAGAGACAGCUAGAAAGAGCCCUCCUAGGGUAAAAAAAAAAAAAAAAAAUUAGACUUCCAGUUAAAAAUGGCAAACUGAACACACAUUUAAUUUCGCUACUUCUCAAAAACCCACUGAAAUAAUAAUCAUUUUUAUUUUUUAAGACAAACCUGCAAGGAUGCGAAUAGGAAAGGAAAUCAAUUUUGGAAACUAGAAAACAGAAUGUCUUUAAACUUCUCAAAAAUAACAUGAAAGCUAGAUGGAAUGGAAGAAGGCUUUCAAAAUUAUAAAGGUGAAUUAUUUUUAACCUAAAAUUCUAUACUCCAACUUUGAUUGAUCAAGUUUAAAGGUAGAUUAAAGAAUAAAUCAAGAAAAGCCUUUGAUGCAGGAAAUAGGAGAUCCAACACAGGAUAGAGGCAAAAGGAAUCCCAGGAUGGCAGUGGUGAAAAGAGAUUCCAGCAGGACAGCUGUGUAUUAGGUGUCAGGGCCCUCAGCCCAGACUGGAGCAGGUUGGAAGGUGCUGGAGGAGCCUUUCUCAGGAGGAGAUCAAGUACCAUGCAUACAAACGUCCUGAAAAAAGACUUGAGGGUUGGAUUAGUGUUAAGUACAUAGAAAAGCAAGCAAACAAACAAACGAAAAAUUAAAGCAAUUAUUAUCUCCAGGGAAGACAAAAAGUUAUGCAGGAAAGGAAAUCAUAAUUUUCUAUGUGGUUUUGCUACUCUAUAUGGUAUUUACAUAGUUACAAUAUUGUAGAUACUGAAUACUGAUUUAAACAAGAUUAUAAUAUAAUCUUAUAAUCUGGAAGGAGGAGGGAGAUGGGACUUAAAGUUGUGGAAUGUGGAGUCAGGAAGAAGCAAGCUAAAUCUUCAUCUCCUGUAGUUGAGAGUCAUUAGAUUAUGCCUGAGACCGAAAAACCAAGAAUAGCGAUACAAGCAUGAUGUUUAGAGAACUGAGGUAAAUACCUAAAGAAUCAGCUAAAAGAGAUGAAAGUGCUUGCUUCUGGAGAAAAGGAAGAGUGUGAGACUCCUGUUUUUCAAAACAAACUUUGAAGAAUUAUUUGACUCUUUAAAAACUAUGUGCUUUAUAACUUCCAGCAAAUUGUUUCAGUUGUUUCACUCUCUUCCAUAUUGCAUCACUUCAUUCACUAUGUUCAGUUUUCAGAGUAAAUAGUUUAUAUCAGUACAAAAACGUUAAUUUUGUCUCUGCUUUGAAGGCAUUAUUAUGAAGGCUAGACUGGAUAUUUGGAAAUCCUGCUUUUAAUAAUAACUGCUGCCGUUACUGCGUGUGUGGUAGCGUACCAAGCACUUUUGUACAUUAUCUCCAGUUUCCACAACAGCCGUGCAAAGUAGGUAUUGUUCCAUUUUACAGAUGAGAAACUGACACUCAGAGAAGUUAAAUAAUUUGCAAAUCUUUAGCAGAGCUCCCUGAUCCAAAGCCUUUGCUCUUCCUUUCUGUUAGAUCUCAUCACUUCUUUCUAGGGAUUGAGUUUAAAAGACCUACAAGGGGGAAAAUGUAGCAGUACAAAGAACUCCUUUGGGUGGUAGGGGUGCAGGGGGAGGGGAAGAGAAACGCUGAAGGAUUCAGCAAUGUUGCUAAGUAGCUAUCUACUGACUUAACCAAGCUUAACCCCAAAUCGGAAUUUCCAACUGGUCAUGCGAGCAAAGGAAGCAAUUUUUAAACUCUGGCUAGGAGCCCCUAUGAUGACAAAAAUAAAAGCUUCAUUCUGUUCUUAUUUUGAAAUAAGAGAUGUUUCAGCUGCUUCAGCAUGGCCCUAAACACCCUCGUGAGAACACUAAGAAAACAAGGUUUUGUGUCCAGAGAAGCCCAGGCAUCCUACAUAGCUGAAAAGGAGGGGACAGCUGGGCAUAACUGCUUCCCAAGGGGUAAUCUGGGUCCGAGAUCUUGGACCAGAUGAUCUUGAAGGUCCCUUCUGAAUAAGAUUCUAGGUUGUGUUUAUCUUGGAGUUUAAAUCACUAGGAGCUUUGAAAGUGUUUUGGCCAAUUUCCUUUCUGGAACUGUUGUGUGAUAUAAUCAAGACGUUCACCUGGCUCUUUAAGUCAGUUGGUUGGUUGGCUCCAGGGUGGUGGGUACCGUAUAUGGUCCGGUGAACAACAAGUGUUGUUUACAUUACUUCUUUCUCAAAAGUCAUGGGCCACCGGCAAGUUAAGAAAUGAAAGUGAAAUGAAAUCAGCUGAUUCAUGACGUCAGCCAGCACAAAUGUACCAAAGUUUAAAGAGCUGUUUACUUAGGGACAACAACUGAGAAUGUAAGCAGGUCCAAAGCUCAGGACUGCAUCUAUCUGCCACUGCCCUCUCCAUUGUCCUUGUUUCUGGAGCCUGACAUUAGGAAGCCAGCAAGAAACAAGAAUCAACCGAACCUGAUCUCCUGCUCCUCCUUUUUAUGAGUAUUUCUGUGGGUUCUGCAUCUUCUUUUUGUCCCAGUAGCAGCGAGCCUUCUCCCUCACCCCAGGCAAAGCCACCCCUCAGUAAGGAUCUGAGAAAGUCUCUCACAAAUGGUUCCAGUGGCUUGUGGUGUUUAAGCUGCCG